AGCAUAUCAAUAAGCGGAGGAAAAGAAACCAACAGGGAUUACCUCAGUAACGGCGAGUGAAGCGGUAACAGCUCAAAUUUGAAAUCUGGCUCUUUCAGGGUCCGAGUUGUAAUUUGUAGACGAUGCUUUGGGUGUGGUGCCGGUCUAAGUUCCUUGGAACAGGACGUCAUAGAGGGUGAGAAUCCCGUAUGUGAUCGGUCGCCUUCGCCCGUGUAAAGCUCGUUCGACGAGUCGAGUUGUUUGGGAAUGCAGCUCAAAAUGGGUGGUAAAUUUCAUCUAAAGCUAAAUAUUGGCCAGAGACCGAUAGCGCACAAGUAGAGUGAUCGAAAGAUGAAAAGCACUUUGGAAAGAGAGUUAAACAGUACGUGAAAUUGUUGAAAGGGAAGCGCUUGCAACCAGACUUGGGCUGUCGCAAUCAUCCGGGGCUCGCCCCGGUGCACUUGUGGCGGCACAGGCCAGCAUCAGUUUCGGUGGUGGGAUAAAGGCCUUGGGAAUGUAGCUUCUUUCGGGGAGUGUUAUAGCCCUCGGUGCAAUGCCGCCUACCGGGACUGAGGAACGCGCUUCGGCGAGGAUGCUGGCGUAAUGGUUGUAAGCGACCCGUCUUGAAACACGGACCAAGGAGUCUAACAUCUAUGCGAGUGUUUGGGUGUCAAACCCAUACGCGUAAUGAAAGUGAACGGAGGUGAGAACCCGUUAGGGUGCAUCAUCGACCGAUCCUGAUGUCUUCGGAUGGAUUUGAGUAAGAGCAUAGCUGUUGGGACCCGAAAGAUGGUGAACUAUGCCUAAAUAGGGUGAAGCCAGAGGAAACUCUGGUGGAGGCUCGCAGCGGUUCUGACGUGCAAAUCGAUCGUCAAAUUUGGGUAUAGGGGCGAAAGACUAAUCGAACCAUCUAGUAGCUGGUUCC
rnacentral:rRNA from 1 species